rnacentral:lncRNA from 1 species
GGUCGCUGUGGGAGAGUGUAGCUGUAAUAGAAGCAGGGGCCCAGGGGGCAUACCUCUUAGGCAGAAGUCACCACCUACUGGGUCACCAGGGUUCAAGGCUUGUACUCAACCUGAGGCCAGGCUGUCUAUGCACAGCUCACCACCCCACAAAUUCCCUUAACACCCAUUCCUUUUCUUGCCCUCCACUGAUUUAUUGUCUUAUAGUUUCAAACACCCAUGGAGAUGAGGAUGAUACCUCCUCCCACUACUAAGAAAACCCAACUAAAGAAGAAUUUGUACCCCAACAGGAAUCAGCACACAACACAGAGAGUCUAGGAGACUGUGAAGUCCAGGCUCAGAAGACAGGAAAGGGUGAGGGUCACAGGAAGCUGAUAGAUUGAAAGGACAUUGAAAAUCCACAGGCAGUGAGGAAUGGUGAGAAAGAAGUCAUCUUCUGAAAGCCAGGUGUUCACCUUCACAGAAAGCAGCCAUUCCAGACCUUGAUCUUGACCUUCUGGCCUCCACAAAUGUGAAAAGCCAAAAUUCUAUUGUUUAAACUACCAAUGAUUUCUCAGAAGCAUUUGUAUUAAAUAUCUUUUUCUAUGGUUGCACAUGCUUUUGAUAUUUGUAGUCUUCAAGCAUUAAAGACAAGAGUUUACAAUCGGACCCGUCUAAAUGAAGAAAUGGGAAUGAUGGCAAAACAGGUUCAUGACAAUCUCCCCCAAGAGAGGACUCCAGGAGUGUUUCAGCUCGAGGUAGAGGGGCCAUGUUCUAUGAUAUCAAAUCACAGGUCCUGAUGGUCUUCUUCUCAAAGUGUGGUUUCAGGACCUGCAGCAUCAGCCACCAGGAAGGAACUGAAUAUAAUUCUCUGACCCCCAUCCUGGGCACAGAGAAACAAAACUACUUGGAAGAAGCAAGCUGAAUUCAUAACAGCACAAGACUCCUUCUGCAGUUCAGCAAAUCGUGUGUGGUGUACCAGCUCAGCGAGUUCUCAGCCUCACAAUCUCCUCCAUGCCACCCUUCAUC